rnacentral:rRNA from 1 species
UACGGGGGAUGCAAGCGUUAUCCGGAAUUAUUGGGCGUAAAGGGUCUGUAGGUUGCUUAUUAAGUUUGUAGUUAAAGACUAGGGCUCAACCUUAGAAAAGCUGUAAAUACUAAUUAGCUAGAGUAUGGAAGGGGUAGAGGGAAUUUCUAGUGUAGUAGUAAAAUGCUCUGAUAUUAGAAGGAACGCCAGAGGCGAAGGCGCUCUACUGGAACAUUACUGACACUAUAAGGCGAAAGCUAGGGGAGCGAAAGGGAUUAGGUACCCCUGUAGUCCUAGCCGUAAACGAUGAAUACUCAGAUUCGGAAAAGCGUAUCUUUUUCGGAUUUCAAGCUAACGCAUUAAGUAUUCCGCCUGGGGAGUACGCUCGCAAGUGUGAAACUCAAAGGAAUUGACGGGGGCCCACACAAGCGGUGGAGCAUGUGGUUUAAUUCGAUGCAACGCGAAGAACCUUACCAGGACUUUUAUCUAUUUAAUUUUAAGAAAUUAAAAUUUAGUGAAGUAGAAAUAGGUGGUGCAUGGCUGUCGCCAGCUCGUGUCGUGAGAUGUUGGGUUAAUUCCCUUAACGAGCGCAACCCUUGUUUGGUCAGUUGUUAUGGAUUUCUGAGAAGACUGCCGAUGAGAAAUCGGAGGAAGGUAAGGAUGACGUCAAGUCAGUAUGCCCCGUAUGUCCUGGGCUACACACGUGCUACAAUGGUUAAGACAAAGAGCCGCUUACUUGUAAAAGAUGAAGAAACCAAAGUAAGUAAAAUUAUUUUAGUAAGAGCAAAUCUCCAAACUUAAUCGAAGUUCGGAUUGUAGGCUGCAACUCGCCUACAUGAAGUUGGAAUCGCUAGUAAUCGCUGGUCAGCAGUACAGCGGUGAAUUCGUCCCUGGGCCAU